GCUGAUUUGGCCGAGUGGUCUAAGGCGAUGGUUUUAAGUCCUAUGAAUUAAGCACCAUUUCGAAAGAGCGUGGGUUCGAACCCCACAGUCAGCA